UUCAGUUUCAUUGGAGGUCCCGGAGUUCUCAUGUUAGGACGGAGAGAGAGAGCUUUCUCUCCACUUCCCCCUUGCCAUACAUUGCGUCUCCUCUUCCUUGCCGUUUUUCUAAACAGAACCCCCCCUCCCAAUGCUGCAACCAUAGAGCUCCAUAACCCCCUUACUCCUUUUGGUUGCCCCCUUCUGAACCUUUCCCAGUUCUGAUUUAUAAUUUUUGAGGUGAAAUUGAUAAUAUUUGUGUUGAUCCCAAUGGGAAAAUGGGAGGUUUUGAGCAGGGAGCACUAAUGCUGUAUAACCCUCCUUAGGAAAGGAAGUGCGGAGGAGGGAGCAGCUAAGAAAGGGCCACGUGGUGAAAUGGGCCAGAGAAGACUAUUUCGUCUCUGGCCCCUCCAUAUACCACAAUGACAUCUCAAAAGUGGCCAAGGACUUUGGCGGCAUCUUCCAAAAACAACUAUAAAAUAAUCUUCAAAGAGGCCCGAAAAUAUAUACGUCGCCAAGACCGAAAAGAGACAGCCAUCGGAAUGGCGUUUUAUUUUGCUGGGAUGUGCGAAUCCGAUUCAGACGCUUCUAUGACCUAGCACACAAGCCGUCUCUUCCUGUGCCGUCUCUUCUUGUGUCUUCUUGAGGUAGUGUUGUUACGGAUAGUGUUGUUUUGAAUAUGUACACUCAAGUAAAAUUUUCAGCUGCAUGUUGACAUUGUUAAACCACUAGUCUCAAUCUUGAAAAGAUAAUCUAUUAGUUGAAUCUAAGGUACGUUUCUGCAAGUGGAAGCAGACCUUUCCAUGAUGGAACAGGGUUGGAUCUACUGAGGACUUCUGUGAAUAGAAGUGGAGAAUUCCCCCCCCCCCAUUCCUCUUUUUCCCUUCAGUGGGCUUGCCUGGACCUGCAUUGCCUACCCUGGGCUUCAGCUGGCCC